rnacentral:rRNA from 1 species
GACAGAGGAUGCAAGCGUUAUCCGGAAUGAUUGGGCGUAAAGCGUCUGUAGGUGGCUUUUUAAGUCCGCCGUCAAAUCCCAGGGCUCAACCCUGGACAGGCGGUGGAAACUACCAAGCUGGAGUACGGUAGGGGCAGAGGGAAUUCCCGGGUCGUAGCGGUGAAAUGCGUAGAUAUCGGGAAGAACACCAAAGGCGAAAGCACUUUGCUGGGCCGAAACUGACACUGAUAGACGAAAGCUAGGGGAGCAAAUGGG